rnacentral:misc_RNA from 1 species
AUAUUAAGACAUAAAUUUUAUUGCAAAUAAGAAACAAAUACAUCCACACAUGCACUUACACAUGUAUAUGCAUAUAAGAUCCACCUUUAUUACAUUCCCAACACAAUUACUAGAUUACAGAUGAUACGUCGACGAUUACAGAGACUUGUUCUGAUACCCUCUAUCUUCAUAUUAGAUGCAGAGGCAGGCAGCACGCAGCACGCAGGCGCAUGGAUCUUACCAUGAACACCUCCUAGUUGUUCAGUUGCAGAUCUUAAUUUCCUUUGCAUGGGGCCCAGGCCCAGUAAACCCAAGAUUCUCAGCACGACCCCGCUUCUUCGUGUUCCCUUUCAGCAAAACACCAAACAGUUUGAAACUCUUGCCACUUCCACCACCACCAUUUUCUCCGUCGUCGUUUUUACAAUCUUUUUCGUCGUCAUCAUCGUGAUCAUCAGCCCCCACGGCCAUCCCGCUGACCAAUCCAUUAAGGGUGGACCCACAGCAACUUCCUUGACGCAUGAUGUGACUGAUCUGAUCAGGCCCCACCUUCACAUACUCAGUCAAGAAAGCAAUCAACUCCUCGCACUGCUUCUUAGCUUGCGCCAACUCCGAGCUCAGCUUCUCGUUGUCCUUUUUCAACUUCUCAUUCUCACCCGAUAAGUCGGCAACUUGCGUUGUCAUCGUCGCUGCCGUCUCCACUGAUCCCGGAUUCUUCGAAUCCGAAGAGGACGUGGACGUGGAUCCCAGAUCUUCACCAGAAUUAGAGGGGGAGGUGGCUAAUCCUCCACCUGCUCCAGACUUACAGGCAGCCGGAGUCUGAGUUGGCGUAGGAGUUACUGUUUUCCGGCGACGGAUAUCGGAGAGGAGCUCUUUGUGUCCUCGUCGAAAAUUCUCGUUGGCGAAUUCCCAUUUGUCUGGCACGAUCUUUCGAAAGCCCUGUAGUAAAACAGUAAACAGGAGGCGGUUAGCAAAAAAUAUUUCUAGAAAUUGCGAGCGAGUCUCGUUGGAUUGAUGGAAGCAGGGUUAGGAAGAAAAACGCGUGCCACGCGGUUUUUGGGUUAGGUUUGAAAAUGGGCGCGGGCGUUGGCGCAGCCAAGAAGGAGAUCUGUGUUUUGGAUACGGAAUUGAACUAGGCAAGGCAAGAGGUUUUUUCUCUGCGCACGCAAUUGAAAUUUGGCGACUUCCCCUCUUUUCUUUUACUUCCCUCUGUUACAUAUUAUAAAAGUCUUUUCCUUUUUCAUCUUAAAUUUAAUAUUUAAUUUUAUGCAAUAUCUAAGCAUCACAUGAUACAAAAUUUAUUUAUUUUUUUCAUUAAUAUUUUAAUUCAUAAAAACAAGUUUAUCUUUGAUUUCGAGUAAAAAUCAACAUGGACGAAGGAAGCUCUAUACAUCUUGACCUUUUAUAUUAUGACGAAACUCCUAGAAUGAUUCAUAGGACCCACAUGCACAGCUGUAUCCACUGACAUGCAUACAAGUAGCUCUGCACGUACAUUCCCAGACGAGAAGCGCAUUCAAAAGACCAUUCUAUCCCUCACCUAAUAUCAGUUGCCCUGUCUAAACAGGGGUAAAUUUGACAUCACACUAACUCUCAUAUGCUCCUUGUUCAUACCAUUUCUGAUCCUUUGAUCAACAAACCAAAAUUGAACAAAUUUUUUAAGCAUCAAAUGGAUUGUUUGGUUGCUGGGAAAAUCAAGGAAUCUAUAGAUAACGUUUCCAUGGUUGAAAACUAAUCACUACCCAAUAUUCAGAUUAAAAAAUGAAUUGCUACAUAGGACACAGACAUGCAAAAAAGAGAAUAAUUAUUGGUUCAAGCUCAAAUGAAUCCAUAGAGACAAGAAAAAUUCAUAGAUAUGGUAAGCAAAAGAGAGGGUGAUACUUACAUAGGUAUUGAGUUGACGAACAAAGCUAGAGAAGUUGUUGUGCUUGAAGUAAUUAGGAAGCAAAUCCUUGGCAAAAUCUGCAGUUUUCCAAACCACAAAAGUGGUGCCAGUUUCAUUCCAGGAAAUCA